rnacentral:rRNA from 1 species
UGACCUACGGGGGGCAGCAGUGGGGAAUAUUGCACAAUGGGGGAAACCCUGAUGCAGCGAUGCCGCGUGGAGGAAGAAGGUUUUCGGAUUGUAAACUCCUUUUAUCAGGGACGAUAAUGACGGUACCUGAGAAAAAGCAUCGGCUAACUCCGUGCCAGCAGCCGCGGUAAUACGGAGGAUGCGAGCGUUAUCCGGAUUUAUUGGGUUUAAAGGGUGCGCAGGCGGCGAGUUAAGUCAGCGGUAAAAUUUCGGGGCUCAACCCCGACGAGCCGUUGAAACUGGCUUGCUAGAGUGGGCGAGAAGUA